UAAUACGUAGGGUGCGAGCGUUAAUCGGAAUUACUGGGCGUAAAGCGUGCGUAGGCGGUUCGUUAAGUGCGUCGUGAAAGCCCCGGGCUCAACCUGGGAAUGGCGAUGGAAACUGGCGGGCUGGAGUAUGGCAGAGGGGGGUGGAAUUCCGCGUGUAGCAGUGAAAUGCGUAGAGAUGCG
rnacentral:rRNA from 1 species